GCCCGUUUGGCGCAAUGGUAGCGCGUCGGCCUCCUAACCUACCUUCUUUCUUCGGGGUUUCGAGCAAAGGAUUGAAAAGAGCGGGGAAGAAAAGUGAAAGCCGAAGGUUGCGAGUUCGAUCCUCGUGACGGGUG